AUUGAACGCUGGCGGCAGGCCUAACACAUGCAAGUCGAGCGGCAGCGGAAAGUAGCUUGCUACUUUGCCGGCGAGCGGCGGACGGGUGAGUAAUGUCUGGGAAACUGCCAGAUGGAAGGGGAUAACUACUGGAAACGGUAGCUAAUACCGCAUAACGUCGCAAGACCAAAGAGGGGGACCUUCGGGCCUCUUGCCAUCAGAUGUGCCCAGAUGGGAUUAGCUAGUAGGUGGGGUAAUGGCUCACCUAGGCGACGAUCCCUAGCUGGUCUGAGAGGAUGACCAGCCACACUGGAACUGAGACACGGUCCAGACUCCUACGGGAGGCAGCAGUGGGGAAUAUUGCACAAUGGGCGCAAGCCUGAUGCAGCCAUGCCGCGUGUAUGAAGAAGGCCUUCGGGUUGUAAAGUACUUUCAGCGGGGAGGAAGGCGGUGAGGUUAAUAACCUUGCCGAUUGACGUUACCCGCAGAAGAAGCACCGGCUAACUCCGUGCCAGCCGCCGCCGGAC
rnacentral:rRNA from 1 species